UAACACGUGGGUAACCUGCCUUAUAGUGGGGGAUAGCCUUUCGAAAGGAAGAUUAAUACCGCAUAAGAUUGUAGUAUCGCAUGAUAUAGCAAUUAAAGGAGCAAUCCGCUAUAGGAUGGACCCGCGUCGCAUUAGCUAGUUGGUGAGGUAAUGGCUCACCAAGGCGACGAUGCGUAGCCGACCUGAGAGGGUGAUCGGCCACAUUGGGACUGAGACACGGCCCAGACUCCUACGGGAGGCAGCAUG
rnacentral:rRNA from 1 species